UGGACUGUCCACAGCAGCUGACUAUGAUUUGCCUCAUGCUCUAGCAGAGGCAAGGUUUUACCUGCUGUAGAUAGUUUCUACAAUUGUGUAAUGUUUGGAAUUCUAGGAAGUUUUCAGAGGGUAUAGAAAUGCUAGAGCUCCUUUAGGCGGGGAGGGUGGCUGUUGUUCAUUUAAUGAGGUUGGUUGAAGUUUUUUAGUAGCAUGGUCAAGAAGAAACAAUUUAGAUGCAGAGAUUUUGCUAAUUUCUCUCUCUCCUCUCUCCGUGUUUCUCUCCUUUCUAGUGUUAGGGGUUGAAACAGGGAUUAAUGGGUAGGAAAAAGAAGAACCCCUGAAGAAGGAAAGACAGGCUACGCUGAUCAGCAUCUGGAUUAGAUGUGCCUUUAACUUACAUCUUCAGGCCUGGUUGGAUUUGUCAGGAUAUAAGGACAUUGAAAAUCAAUGAUUCCAGAACAAUCACGAGGACUUCUAGCACACCCAGACUGAUCUGCAGAAAAAUUGAAUCCAUUUCCUGGAAAAGAAGUCCCAUUCAAUGCAGCAAGAUCAGAGAAUAUGGAGUGGAGAGAUGGCUCAGUCAUGAAGAGCACGUAUUGUUAUGGAAGAGGACCUGAUUUCAAUUCCCAGCACCCACCUUGGUGGCUCACAACUGGCUGUAACUCCAGUUCCACAGAAUCUACCACCCUUGAUUUACCUUCUCACGGACCAAUGAGUGCACGUGUGGACAUGUGAGUGCAUACACACUUACACAUGCACCAA
rnacentral:sRNA from 1 species